UAACAGACGUUUGAAAUUUGUUUAGUUUUCGAAUGCAUUUCGUGAUUGCUGGUCAUUUAAUUCGCUGUGUCUAAAUUCUAUGUAAGCUCUCUUCAAAAAGCCUUUUUUUUUUGUUUUGAUUAUAACAACAAAUAAGGAGUGUUCAGUUUCAAUGGAUUACCAACACCACCUAAAUAAAAUGUAUUGUCAAUCACCAUUUGGUACUAUGUAUGGAGAAUCGCAACAGCGAUUUUAUGCUUCAACCUCGACUUGUUUUCAAAAUCAACUUCAACAAGCACCACUGCCAAAGCCUAAAUCACCAGUCAAACGGGCUACCGGACAAUUGGUACGGAAACCAACGACCAACAAACUUAAACCGCAAACAAAAAAGCCAUCAACUAAAACAACAACUAAAACCAAAACAACUACCGAAUUAAUUAUGUUGAAAAAAACUACAACGAAAACCACUACAACUAAAACAAAAACAGCUGCAAAAAGGGCUCCAUCUAGGGCCUCAAUUAAGGCCCCAGCUAGGGCCUCAAUUAAGGCCCCGGCUAGGGCUCCAGCUAGAAGGUA